rnacentral:ncRNA from 21 species
CGCCCACAAUCUAUUUAAACGGUUUCGACACGGAUGUGUUGGGGCGCGCUGUGCGACAGCUGCGUGUUUCCGAUGGUCGGCUGGUCGACUUUGGUCGAAGCUCAAAUUGGGGCAUCCCUGUUGGGGUUGUUUCUUCGAGUGUACUCGCUCGGAAGCAUCCCACGUUUGGUCUCCUCGCGCUAACCCCCGUAGCGUGUGGUUUUUAGCGGGCUCAAGGCCCGCUUUUUU